rnacentral:rRNA from 1 species
AGCUUUCCCUUCGGGGACAAAGUGACAGGUGGUGCAUGGUUGUCGUCAGCUCGUGUCGUGAGAUGUUGGGUUAAGUCCCGCAACGAGCGCAACCCUUGAUUUUAGUUGCCAGCAUUUAGUUGGGCACUCUAAAGUGACUGCCGGUGCAAGCCGGAGGAAGGUGGGGAUGACGUCAAAUCAUCAUGCCCCUUAUGACCUGGGCUACACACGUGCUACAAUGGAUAGUAC